CACCGCGGUUAUACGAGAGACCCAAGUCGAUGGCCCUCGGCGUAAAGAGUGGUUAAGAUUCAAUUAAUACUAAAGCCAAACGACUUCAAAGCUGUUAUACGCACAUGAAGACAUGAAGCCCAACUACGAAAGUGGCUUUAAAUUUCUGACUCCACGAAAGCUAUGAUA
rnacentral:rRNA from 1 species